rnacentral:rRNA from 1 species
GACGUAGGAUGCAAGCGUUGUCCGGAAUUAUUGGGCGUAAAGAGUUCGUAGGCGGUUACUUAAGUCUGGUGUUAAAAGACGGGAGCUCAACUCCCGCAUGGCAUUGGAAACUGGGUGGCUAGAGUGCGGUAGAGGUCUCGGGAAUUCCAGAUGUAGCGGUGAAAUGCGUAGAUAUCUGGAGGAACACCGGUGGCGAAAGCGCGAGACUGGGCCGUAACUGACGCUGAGGAACGAAAAGC